GAGCGUUGUCCGGAUUUAUUGGGGGUAAAGCGMGCGCAGGUGGUUUAAUAAGUCUGAUGUAAAAKGCAGUGGCUCAACCAUUGUGUGCAUUGGAAACUGUUAGACUUGAGUGCAGUAGAGGAGAGUGGAACUYCAUGUGUAGCGGUGAAAUGCGUAGAUAUAUGGAGGAACACCGGUGGCGAAAGCGGKUCUCUGGACUGUCACUGACACUGAGGCUCGAAAGCGUGGGUAGCAAACAGGAUUAGAUACCCCUGGUAGUYCCGCCGUAAACGGUGAGUGCUAGCUGUUCGGGGCUACUCCGCCSUAAGUGACGCAGCAAACGCAUUAAGCASUCCGCCUGGGGAGUACGACCGCAAGGUUGAAACUCAAAGGAAUUGACGGGGGCCCGCACAAGCGGUGGAGCAUGUGGUUUAAUUCGAAGCAACGCGAAGAACCUUACCAGGUCUUGACAUACUCGURCUAUUCCUAGAGAUASGAAGUUCCUUCGGGACACGGGAKACAGGUGGUGCAUGGYGUCGUC
rnacentral:rRNA from 1 species